rnacentral:rRNA from 1 species
UACGUAGGGUGCAAGCGUUAAUCGGAAUUACUGGGCGUAAAGCGAGCGCAGGCGGCUAUAUAAGACAGAUGUGAAAUCCCCGGGCUUAACCUGGGAACUGCAUUUGUGACUGUAUGGCUAGAGUGUGUCAGAGGGAGGUAGAAUUCCGCGUGUAGCAGUGAAAUGCGUAGAUAUGCGGAGGAAUACCGAUGGCGAAGGCAGCCUCCUGGGAUAACACUGACGCUCAUGCUCGAAAGCGUGGGGAGCAAACAGG